rnacentral:rRNA from 1 species
UGAGGAAUAUUGGACAAUGGGCGCAAGCCUGAUCCAGCCAUGCCGCGUGAGUGAUGAAGGCCUUAGGGUUGUAAAGCUCUUUCACCGGUGAAGAUAAUGACGGUAACCGGAGAAGAAGCCCCGGCUAACUUCGUGCCAGCAGCCGCGGUAAUACGAAGGGGGCUAGCGUUGUUCGGAAUUACUGGGCGUAAAGCGCGCGUAGGCGGACCGUUAAGUCGGGGGUGAAAUCCCAGAGCUCAACUCUGGAACUGCCUUCGAUACUGGCGGUCUCGAGUCCGGGAGAGGUGAGUGGAAUUCCGAGUGUAGAGGUGAAAUUCGUAGAUAUUGGGAGGAAUACCGGUGGCGAAGGCGACCGCCUGGACGGGUACUGACACUGAGGCGCGAAAGCGUGGGGAGCAAACAGGAUUAGAUACCCCUGUAGUCC